rnacentral:rRNA from 1 species
CACUCCUGCGGGAGGCAGCAGUGGGGAAUUUUGGACAAUGGGCGAAAGCCUGAUCCAGCCAUGCCGCGUGCAGGAUGAAGGCCUUCGGGUUGUAAACUGCUUUUGUACGGAACGAAACGGCCUUUUCUAAUAAAGAGGGCUAAUGACGGUACCGUAAGAAUAAGCACCGGCUAACUACGUGCCAGCAGCCGCGGUAAUACGUAGGGUGCAAGCGUUAAUCGGAAUUACUGGGCGUAAAGCGUGCGCAGGCGGUUAUGUAAGACAGUUGUGAAAUCCCCGGGCUCAACCUGGGAACUGCAUCUGUGACUGCAUAGCUAGAGUACGGUAGAGGGGGAUGGAAUUCCGCGUGUAGCAGUGAAAUGCGUAGAUAUGCGGAGGAACACCGAUGGCGAAGGCAAUCCCCUGGACCUGUACUGACGCUCAUGCACGAAAGCGUGGGGAGCAAACAGGAUUAGAAACCCUAGUAGUCCCAUGAU